rnacentral:lncRNA from 1 species
AUUAUCAAACAUAUUUUUUAUUUUAUUACUUUUAUUCAAUAGUAAAAAUUAAAAAAUAUAUUUUUUAAAAAUUAAAAAUUUAAAAGUGUAACCAAAUAUACCCCAAGUGAAAAGGAAGUGAAAAAGAAAUAAAAAAUUGAAGCUUGAGGUUUCUCUUCCUAGACUUAAUAAUAUAGGACCUUAAUAAUAGCGGAACGGAUGGCUCAAGGGCCUGGACCU